GUCCCUCUGAUUGUUGGUCUGUCUGUUGGACUCCCACUGUUUGUUGCUCUGGUGGUGCUAAUUAUUCUGGUCAUUAGGUACAAAAAGAAAUACAUUCAACAGAGAAGAGUUGACAGCAGAGAGGGUCACUACCAAGAUGAAGAUCGCCCACCUUCAAGUCUAAGUGUCUCCUACUUUACAGUGGCCCCAUACACUACAGCCUUAUCAAAGGAAGGAGCCAAGGAAGAUGAGCAGCCUCUUUUUGUAUAAAUGAUAGACAGAUAACAAUAAAACUACAUAACGAUUUGUUACAUUAGGACAGAUACAUUAGAAUUUAUUGCAUUAGGACUGAUUUCUCAUUUUAUCAAGACUGAUUAUGUAACAACUUACAUAACUUAUUACAUUAGGACUGAUACAUAACAGCUACCAGGGUGGCUGCUUGGUCGUGCAGUAUGCGCACUGGACUGUCUAUCCUACUUGUAGAUGUCCCAGGUUCAUAUCCUGCACUUUCACAUCCCCCGUCUUCCUGCAUAAGGUUUGAUUAGGAAGUAAAUUAUCUUCAACUCUGAAGGAAUAUCUGAAACAUAAAACAUUUUUACAAGCUAAUUACAUUAGGAUGCAUUAGAAUUCAUUAAAUUAAGAUUGAUUUCUUAUUUUAUCAAGACUGAUUAUGCAAAAACAUAAUACAUAAUUAUUACAUUAUAGAACUGAUUACAUAACUCAUUAUAUUAGGGCUGAUUAAUUAAGACAACAUUGCAUUAGGAUUGAUUAAAUUUCAUUUUAUUACAUUACAUCUGAUUACAUUAUAGCUUUUAUGAUUACACGCCAAAUGAUUAUAUUUUACAUUAGUAUUCUUUAUGACUUUAAAACCUAAUUCAUUAUACAUCACGUAAAUAAAUUACAAUAAAGAAAUUAUUAGAUGUGCAGAAAAAAAGAUAAAUAGAUAACAAAGUUAAUAAGAUAUUGUAUAUUAAGUUAACAAAGUGUUAAUAAUUGUAUCAUUAGAUCUAGUAUGUUAUUAUUAGAUGACUGGUGUUGAAAUGUGUGAUGUUGCUAGUUCAGGCUGUCUUGAAGUCAACCAAUUACUCUGCAAUCGUUUGGGUGUAAUUGUUCGGGUGUAUUACGUGUAGUUGAACAACAGUACAAACAAGAACUGGCACAUCUGUUUUUUAACUAGUGAAGAGAUGUAGUAAACGAUGAUGAACAAUUGUACAUGGAUUUAUUCUGAUAAAAGGCCACAGUAGAAGUCUCUGUCACUAAACACGUCGUUACCCUGGAAUAUUCUAUCGCUAACU
rnacentral:sRNA from 1 species